UAAAUUUCAUUACUUACAAUUUGUACUGUAAUCUUUUUACAGGAGGCACAACAGAAUCGUCCUGUUUCUUAUCGUGAAGUGUAUAACAAAGUUCACAAAAAAAAAUGAUGGUGAAUUUGUCUCAACUAGGGCAAAGAAAUUUAUUGAAACAUAUGAAGAAUUAAUGACACAAAAAUAUGGAGAAGACACUUCAUCUCGUCCUGUAAUUGAUUCUGAUCUUUGGUUAAAAGCUGCAGGUGAAAACAAGAAGAAAAGAGUGCAUGGCAUGGGACAUAGCUUGGAUCUUGGAACUAGUAGCUCUACCCAAGCUUCAUAUCCAGAGGUUACAGGUUCUUCUACAAAUCUUACGCCUAUGAUAGAAGAACGGGUCACUACAGUUAUAAAUAAUGCAUUGGCCUCUUUUUUGCAAACACAAUUACCAGAGAUGAUGAAACAAAUAAUUCAGGCAGUUAAACCAUCAACAACACCGUCAACCAACCAACAUAGGCAGGAUCAAGGACGAGAUGAUGAUUUUACUAGCUUAGGUUGAUUACUAUUUAGGAUGACUCGUUAUUUGACUUUUUUUUUUGUAAGACAUUAAUUAGUUUGGGUUUCUUUAAGAUAGUAUGUACAAGUUGAAUUUUGUAAGACAUUUAACAAUUUGGUUUUGUAAGAGAUAUUGUUACAUGCAACUUUUAUUUUAAAUCAUGUCGAAUUGAAAAAAAAUUAUG